CGUUAAAACACCGGUUCCUGUACUAUCACCGAAGUUAAGCAACGUCGGGCCUUGUCAAUACCCAGAUGGGUGACCGCUUGUGAAUGCUUG